rnacentral:rRNA from 1 species
GAUGAACGCUGGCGGCGUGCCUAAUACAUGCAAGUCGAGCGAACAGACGAGGAGCUUGCUCCUCUGACGUUAGCGGCGGACGGGUGAGUAACACGUGGAUAACCUACCUAUAAGACUGGGAUAACUUCGGGAAACCGGAGCUAAUACCGGAUAAUAUAUUGAACCGCAUGGUUCAAUAGUGAAAGACGGUUUUGCUGUCACUUAUAGAUGGAUCCGCGCCGCAUUAGCUAGUUGGUAAGGUAACGGCUUACCAAGGCGACGAUGCGUAGCCGACCUGAGAGGGGGAUCGGCCACACUGGAACUGAGACACGGUCCAGACGCCUACGGGAGGCAGCAGUAGGGAAUCUGCCGCAAUGGGCGAAAGCCUGACGGAGCAACGCCGCGUGAGUGAUGAAGGUCUUCGGAUCGUAAAACUCUGUUAUUAGGGAAGAACAAAUGUGUAAGUAACUAUGCACGGCUUGACGGUACCUAAUCAGAAAGCCACGGCUAACUACGUG